GGGGGCUGGUGCAGGCAACAGCAGAGGCUCUCUGGGCAGCCUGGUGAAGGCCCAUCUGGGAGGCCUCCCCAGCGGCUGCCUUUUCCUGGGCCCCCAGCAGACCUCUCUGCUUCACUUUCAGGUUUAUCCAAGUGGCUCUUGCUCCUGUCUGCUUUCUCAUCCUGCAGGGUUUCUGGGUCCCUUCCUGGGCUGGUGGCAGUGUGUGUGUGGGUGGGUGGGGCCGUGCCCAGUGGUCCCCACGGAGAUGUUCAGUGCUUGGAAUCGCCGGGACCGGCCCCCUGAGGAGGGGGCAGCUGCAGAGCUCCAGGGCUUCGCUGUGGACAAGACCUUCUUCUCUUCUCUCAAAGGCAUCCUGCUGGAAACUGAGCUGGCCCUGACCUUCAUCAUCUUCAUCUGCUUCACGGCCUCCAUCUCCGCCUAUAUGGCCGCGGCAUUGCUGGAGUUCCUCAUCACGCUCACUUUCCUCUUCUUCUACGCCACCCAGUACUACCAGCGCUUCGACCAGCUUAACUGGCCCUGUCUGGACUUCCUCCGCUGCCUCAGUGCCAUCAUCAUCUUCCUCGUGGUCUCCUUUGCUGCUGUGACCUCCAGGGAAGGGGCUGCCAUUGCUGCUUUCGUGUUUGGUAUCAUCCUGGUAUCGGUCUUUGCCUACGAUGCCUUGAAGAUCUACCAGACUGAGAUGGCACCCAGAGCCACCCAGGGGACUCAGCAGUGACUCCUGGGCUGUCUCCCAAGCCCGCCCAGACACAGGGAACCAUGAAGCCCAGAUAUGUCUCCUUUGGAUUCAUUGACCCCCUGGCCACCAUCCCCCACACCAGGUCUACAGAGGCGUCUGCCCAAGAAGUCAGUGGGGAUGUAUCUGUGGAGCCUGGUGCCCUGAGCCUGGUUCCUGAUGAGAGAUUCCUGUCUGACUAGUACAGACCAAGGGAGAGACCCACCUUGGCGCCAAUGUCACGGCUCUUGGCCCGAAGCUUGUUGACCUGGGACUCAGCGAUGUCGGCCCGUUCCUCUGCCUCAUCCAGCUCGUGCUGCACCUUGCGGAACUUGGACAGCUCAUUCUCCAGCUCCCGCACCCGGGCCUCCAGCUUCUGCAGCUGCUUCUUGCCACCCUUGAGGGCGAUCUGCUCAGCCUCGUCCGUCCAGCCGGUGCUGCAGGUCCUUGAUGGUCUGCUCCAUGUUCUUCUUCAUGCGCUCCAGGGCCUCAUUGCGGCUGCGUGUCUCUGCAUCCAGGGAGGUCUGCAGCGAGUCCACCACCCGCAGGUGGUUGCGCUUGGCCUGCUCCAUCUCCUCGUCCUUCUCUGCCAGCUUCCGCUCAAUCUCUGCCUUGAUCUGGUUGAACUCCAGCUGGGCUCGAAGGAUCUUGCCCUCCUCAUGCUCCAGGGAGGCCUAGAAGGAGGGUGGGGAGAGAGGUCUGAGGCCGACAGUUAGGGCCCAGGGUGGACCGGGAGGGAGGACCAGAAGAUGACAGGAAUCACCAGGACUGUGGCCUGAAGAAGAGAUGGGGAGGUGGGCCCUGCACCCAAGAUCCUGUUGGGGAGGAAGUGCUGGACUUCCUGGGCUUCCUGACUCAUGGGUCUUCCUCUGUGAAGGGAGGAGUUUGAACCUGUCGGAUGCCAGACCCCUGGCACUAACAUGGCAGGGAUUCUCGACCCACUUUAAGAUCACAGAAAAAAAGAGGGAUUUCUAUAAUGUAAAACUCUCUUUGUUUACUAGGUCCCUCUCCUUGAGUGAGAAAAAAAUUAGAAGUCCCAAACUCAGGGCUGUUCCCAGUGCCUUAAAAAUGCAUAGAAACAAUAGCUAAUGUAAAUUAAGUGCUUGAGCAGAUCACAUCAGUUAAUCUUCAUAAUAAUCAUACACACAAUCUUGGAGGUAUGUUAUAUUAAUGUCAUCUAACAGAAAAGGACACCGACGCACAGAGAGGUUAAUGUCCAAUGACACAGAGGAAACUUGGUCCUCAAGCCAUUUCAAAUUCAGGUCCCCACUGUCUGAGUGAUUAUCAUGAGGCCAGAUUCCAACUUUAAAAAACCUUCUGCCUAAAA